AUUUCUCUUCCAAAGUUCCCAUCCACAUCCAUUGGAAAGCGAAAGUCCCACAAUUUAUAUCAAUUCACGGCUGCCAAAUCCUUGAUUUCCUCUCCUUCUCUAGAUGUUGAUCUGCCAUUCCAAUUCGGUUUUGAAACUUUUUACUCCUCCGCCUUAUUAGGAAUAUCCAAAGCUUUCCUUCCCCGAUGCCAAUUGGGAAAUCUAAUUCCUUAACAAGGAGGAAGUGCUUCUUACAAGAGGGGAUUGGACUUGUUCUCUCUCUGGAGGAGGAAAAACCAGAGGAGAGUAGAUCCAAUCCAACAAGGCUGAAGCAAAAUAAAGCAGUACUACUUUCUUUCCCCUGUUUAUUUAUUAUUUAAGUAUGCCCCAAAACCACCUACGACCCCUCAAAAGGGCAAUGGCAAUAGAAGAAGCAGAAAUAAGCUCCGGCAAGUUUAUGGAAAAGGCUUCCGUUGAGAAAAAUGUUGUUGAAGUGGCAUAUAUGGAUCUGUUGCCAGAUGAGAUUCUGUCUCUAAUCAUCUCAUUUUUGACAACAAGAGAUGUUGUUCGAACAAUUGUACUUGCAACCAAGUGGAGAUUCCUAAGCGCAUCCCCACUAAAUCUGGACUUUGAUUGGCCCAGCAUACGUGGGGUGAAGAGGGGUGGGGGGGGGGGGGUCUCCGCUGUUUGAUGCAUUCAGGUAGAGCAUAUACCUGAAUGCUUAAACCACCUUCAGCAAGGUCAAGCAACUGGAAUUGUAUUUCUGUGCGCCGACAAUAUUUCACGUACAAAAAGAUUUUUACAAUUCUGCAAGCCUGCCCACUUUUGCAGAAAUUCCAUUUGGUGGGAAACCCUCCUAGAUUUGGAUCCAACACUUACGAGGUUGGAGAAAGCAAACAUAACCAUCUGAAGGAAGUUGAAGUCGGUGGAUUUUACGGAACCGAGGCUCAGAUUGGGUUUCUUAUGAAGUUGGUGAAAUAUGCUGUCAUGCUUGAACGAAUGGUAGUCAAUACUGAUGCAGAAAUUCGCCGAGGAAUUGAGUCUCGUGCAGGUAUUCAGAUCUGUAUCCGAAGAUGAAAUCUGAUGUGUUAGCCAACAUAUUGCGGGAAAGAGCCACCUCGAAAAACACAGUGAUAAUUUUGCAAUGGCCGGGUACAUAGGGUUAAAAAACCAUGCUUCCGGCUAUGAAAAGAAAAAUAUAAAAGCAAUCCGACUUACCUUUUUGUAAUUUUAUUUUACAAGCUUGAGCUCAACCUGAACUUUGACGUGGGCAGAUAAUUAUCAUGUAUUAAAUCACCCGUUUGUUGAAAUAGUAGAUUAAAUCUUGAAUAA